rnacentral:misc_RNA from 1 species
CGCCGCGGUAAUUCCAGCUCCAAUAGCGUAUAUUAGUGUUGUUGCGGUUAAAAAGCUCGUAGUUGAAUUUCGGGAUUGGGAUAUAUCGGUCGUGCCUUUAGGGGCAUGAAACGGUGUGUAGCCAAUUUCUCACCUUCUGGUGAGUCGGGAUGCUCUUGGGUGUUUCGAUGAACCAGGACAUUUACUUUGAAAAAAUUAGAGUGUUUAAAGCGGGCAUUUUUGCUUGAAUACAUUAGCAUGGAAUAAUAAAAUAGGACGAUGGUUUUAUUUUGUUGGUUUUAGGGCCACGUAAUGAUUAAUAGGGAUAGUUGGGGGCAUUAGUAUUCAAUUGUCAGAGGUGAAAUUCUUGGAUUUAUUGAGGACUAACUACUGCGAAAGCAUUUGCCAAGGAUGUUUUCAUUAAUCAAGAACGAAAGUUAGGGGAUCAAAGACGAUUUAUGUACGUCGUAGUCUUAACCAUAAACUAUGCCGACUAGGAAUCAGACAAAGUUCAUUUUUUAACGACUUGUUUGGUACCUUACG